rnacentral:rRNA from 1 species
GACGAACGCUGGCGGCGUGCCUAAUACAUGCAAGUCGAACGAGAGCGCCCGGUGCUUGCCCUGGUCAAUCUAGUGGCGAACGGGUGAGUAACACGUGGGUAACCUGCCCAUCAGAGGGGGGUAACAUCCGGAAACGGAUGCUAAAACCGCAUAGGUCUUCGAACCGCAUGGUUUGAAGAGGAAAAGAGGCGCAAGCUUCUGCUGAUGGAUGGACCCGCGGUGCAUUAGCUAGUUGGUGAGGUAACGGCUCACCAAGGCCGUGAUGCAUAGCCGACCUGAGAGGGUGAUCGGCCACAUUGGGACUGAGACACGGCCCAAACUCCUACGGGAGGCAGCAGUAGGGAAUCUUCCGCAAUGGACGCAAGUCUGACGGAGCAACGCCGCGUGAGUGAAGAAGGUUUUCGGAUCGUAAAACUCUGUUGUUAGAGAAGAACAAGUGCUAGAGUAACUGUUAGCGCCUUGACGGUAGCUAACCAGAAAGCCACGGCUAACUACGUG